UACGAAGGGGGCUAGCGUUGUUCGGAAUUACUGGGCGUAAAGCGCACGUAGGCGGAUCGAUCAGUCAGGGGUGAAAUCCCGGAGCUCAACUCUGGAACUGCCUUUGAUACUGUCGAUCUAGAGUAUGGAAGAGGUGAGUGGAAUUCCGAGUGUAGAGGUGAAAUUCGUAGAUAUUCGGAGGAACACCAGUGGCGAAGGCGGCUCACUGGUCCAUUACUGACGCUGAGGUGCGAAAGCGUGGGGAGCAAACAGG
rnacentral:rRNA from 1 species